rnacentral:rRNA from 1 species
CAUGCAAGUCGAGCGGCAGCGGGAAAGUAGCUUGCUACUUUUGCCGGCGAGCGGCGGACGGGUGAGUAAUGCCUGGGAAAUUGCCCAGUCGAGGGGGAUAACACUUGGAAACGACUGCUAAUACCCCAUACCCCCUACGGGGGAAAGCAGGGGACCUUCGGGCCUUGCGCGAUUGGAUAUGCCCAGGUGGGAUUAGCUAGUUGGUGAGGUAAUGGCUCACCAAGGCGACGAUCCCUAGCUGGUCUGAGAGGAUGAUCAGCCACACUGGAACUGAGACACGGUCCAGACUCCUACGGGAGGCAGCAGUGGGGAAUAUUGCACAAUGGGGGAAACCCUGAUGCAGCCAUGCCGCGUGUGUGAAGAAGGCCUUCGGGUUGUAAAGCACUUUCAGCGAGGAGGAAAGGUUGGUGCCUAAUACGUGUCAACUGUGACGUUACUCGCAGAAGAAACACCGGCUAACUCCGUGCCAGCAGCCGCGGUAAUACGGAGGGUGCA